CGAGGGGUGCAAGCGUUGCUCGGAAUUAUUGGGCGUAAAGGGCAGGUAGGUGGUCUCAUUUGUCUGGGGUGAAAUCCUUGGGCUUAACCUAAGAAGUGCCCCAGAAACGGUGAGACUAGAGUCCUGGAGAGGGUCGUGGAAUUCCCGGUGUAGCGGUGAAAUGCGUAGAGAUCGGGAGGAACACCAGAGGCGAAGGCGGCGACCUGGACAGGUACUGACACUCAACUGCGAAAGCGUGGGGAGCAAACAGGAUUAGAUACCCUGGUAGUCCACGCUGUAAACGAUGGGAACUAGGCUUGGUGGGUCUUGACCCCCGCCGAGCCGCAGCUAACGCGAUAAGUUCCCCGCCUGGGAAGUACGGUCGCAAGACUA
rnacentral:rRNA from 1 species